rnacentral:rRNA from 1 species
AUGACAUUUAGUGGGAAGAAGGAGUUCAAAGAUGCAAUCAUUCGUUAUGCACUGAAGGAAAGAAAAGAAAUCAAGUUCUUAAAAGAUGAGGGAGUCAGAGUAAGGGCAAAGUGCACAUGGCCUCAUUGUCCUUGGGUGUGUUUGUUGAGGAAAACAUCAAAGUUUGAAAGUUGGCAGAUUACUUCAUUUACGGAGGAACACACUUGUCCAAAAAGGAAAGAUAGUGCACUAGUUACAAGUAGACGGAUUGCAGAAAAGUUUGAGAGUUUGAUAAUGUCAUGUCCAGAAUGGUCAAUCCAGCAAUUAAAGUCAACCGUGCAGGAAAAAAUGUUUGCAAAUGUGUCAAUAUCCAAAAUCAAGAGAGCAAAAGCACUUGUCAUUGGAAAAAUGCUUGCGGCUAAAGAGGGAGAGUACAACCAAGUGUUUGAUUACCAACUUGAGUUACUUAGAAGCAACCCUGGGACUACUUGUGUGGUCAAGCUUCACCCAGAUUUUGAAGAACCAACAUUCCACCACUUUAUGUGUGCUUUGAUGCUUGUAAGAAGGGCUUCUUAG